rnacentral:rRNA from 1 species
CCUACGGGUGGCAGCAGUGAGGAAUAUUGGUCAAUGGGCGGGAGCCUGAACCAGCCAAGUCGCGUGAGGGAAGACGGUCCUAUGGAUUGUAAACCUCUUUAGGCGGGGAGCAAUGCCGGGACCGUGUGCCCGGAGGGAGAGUACCCGCAGUAUAAGCAUCGGCUAACUCCGUGACAGCAGCCGCGGUAAUACGGGGGAUGCUAGCGGUAUCCGGAUUUAAUGGGUUUAAUGGGUGCGUAGGCGGAUUUUUAAGUCAGCGGGAAAAUGUCCUGGCUCAACCCGGGCCGGCCGUUGAAACUGGGGAUCUUGAGUGGGCGAGAGGUAUGCGGAAUGCGUGGUGUAGCGGUGAAAUGCAUAGAUAUCACGCAGAACUCCGAUUGCGAAGGCAGCAUACCGGCGCCCGACUGACGCUGAGGCACGAAAGCGUGGGGAUCGAACAGGAUUAGAUACCCCAGUAGUC